CUUUACGCAAUUCCCAAGCAUCAAUAUCUGGCUUAUUGAAGUAUAUCACCCAGCGAGCAUCAAACUCCUCCAUCUGUCUCAUGUGACCCACGGGAGUAGCAGCGUAUUGACUGGAUAGCGGCGGCCGGGGCCGGGGGCG